AAUGGCAGGAAGCACAAAGAGGAGGAAAAACAGCCAAACUAAACAUGUAACUGACAAGAAAAGUUCAAAAGCGAGCUGAAGAUCUGUGCUGAAGAAUUUUGCUCACUUCUCCAGCACGUGAGGAGAGUUUACUGAUGCUGUUUGCUGCAGCCAGAGACCUGAUUGUUGCUGUAAGGUAGACAGCUCAUCAACAUGAGUGACAAGCUUCUGGGCAGGAACAACAGCCGCAGAGGAGAAGAAGACCAGACUAACAAUAGAGGCUGUGCCUGGAGUCAAAAACUGGGGGAGAGAUGAUCUUGGAAACCAAAGGCCCUUCAAAGUGUCAGUGAACAAGGAACUGAACUCCCACCUGCUUACUCAGUGCGUGGAACAGGAUUACAGCAUUCGCACAGAAAGCAGCCAGAAAAAAAGAGUGGAGAUUUCUUUUAUGACUUUGAACUGUGGCAGUCUGGCCCCCACAUUAAUCCCGAUCCAGUUGCUCUUGUUGGAGACCUGUGAUACUAGAGGCUGAGGAUUACUCAUCUCCUGUUGCUUCGCUGGCUCCAGACUUUCCUCGGAACCCCUCCACUUCCAUCUUCAUGCAGCGUGAAUGUGGUCGCUGCUGAUAAAGCAGAGAUGCAGCGCUGGUGUUGUUCCCCUCGGCGGAAGAGAAGGAGGUUCAGACAAAAAAGACGGGGGGAGGUGGUGGGGUUGGGAGGUUCCAGUGAUGCUGCUGAGUCUCCGGCGCCAUCUCGCUUUCAUCACCCACCUCGGUUUUGUCAGCCACUCGUCUUUAAGUCUUUUUUUCCCCUUGUGGCUGGCAUCUUCCACUGCACCCGCUGUUAGUUUUCUCCCUCUGCUGCUCCACCUGUUCGUCCUGUUUAUUGCCUCUUCCAUUUUCCCCUCCGUCAUCUUCUCUUCAUCAUUAGUAUCGCCUUCCUUUCUUUUACUCACAUACUGUCUCCUCUGUAGCUAACUGACGACAACCAGAUAACUCAUCCCCUGGUGAACACAAACAUUUUGUUG